rnacentral:rRNA from 1 species
GACGAACGCUGGCGGCGUGCCUAACACAUGCAAGUCGAACGGAGAGGCCCUGCAUUUGUGGGGUGCUUGAGUGGCGAACGGGUGAGUAACACGAGAGUAACCUGCAACUGAUUAUGGGCUAACUUCUGGCAACUGGGGAUCAUACCGGAAAGGAGCUCCUGAUGAAUGGAGGGGGUUGGAAGGCUUCGGCGGAUGGGUAAGGACUCGGGGCUUAUCAGCUUGUUGGUGGGGUAGUGGCUUACCAGGGCUUUGACGGGUAGCCGGCCUGAGAGGGGGGCAGGCCACAUUGGAACUGAGAUACGGCCCAGACUCCUACGGGAGGCAGCAGUGGGGAAUAGUGCACAAUGGGCGGAAGCCUGAUGCAGCAACGCCGCGUGCGGGAUGACGGCCUUCGGGUUGUAAACCGCUUUCGCCUGUGACGAAGCGUGAGUGACGGUAAUGGGUAAGGAAGCACCGGCUAACUACGUG